AGUGAACGCUGGCGGCAGGCCUAACACAUGCAAGUCGAGCGGAUGAAGGGAGCUUGCUCCUGGAUUCAGCGGCGGACGGGUGAGUAAUGCCUAGGAAUCUGCCUGGUAGUGGGGGAUAACGUCCGGAAACGGGCGCUAAUACCGCAUACGUCCUGAGGGAGAAAGUGGGGGAUCUUCGGACCUCACGCUAUCAGAUGAUCCUAGGUCGGAUUAGCUAGUUGGUGGGGUAAAGGCCUACCAAGGCGACGAUCCGUAACUGGUCUGAGAGGAUGAUCAGUCACACUGGAACUGAGACACGGUCCAGACUCCUACGGGAGGCAGCAGUGGGGAAUAUUGGACAAUGGGCGAAAGCCUGAUCCAGCCAUGCCGCGUGUGUGAAGAAGGUCUUCGGAUUGUAAAGCCCUUUAAGUUGGGAAGAAGAGCAGUAAGUUAAUACCUUGCUGUUUUGACGUUACCAACAGAAUAAGCACCGGCUAACUUCGUG
rnacentral:rRNA from 1 species